rnacentral:rRNA from 1 species
CCUACGGGAGGCAGCAGUGAGGAAUAUUGGUCAAUGGGCGUAAGCCUGAACCAGCCAAGUCGCGUGAGGGAUGAAGGUACUGUGGAUCGUAAACCUCUUUUAUAAGGGAAUAAAGUGUGGGACGUGUCCUGUUUUGUAUGUACCUUAUGAAUAAGCAUCGGCUAACUCCGUGCCAGCAGCCGCGGUAAUACGGAGGAUCCGAGCGUUAUCCGGAUUUAUUGGGUUUAAAGGGUGCGUAGGCGGCCUGUUAAGUCAGCGGUGAAAGUCUGUGGCUCAACCAUAGAAUUGCCGUUGAAACUGGGAGGCUCGAGUAGGUUAGAGGCAGGCGGAAUGCGCGGUGUAGCGGUGAAAUGCUUAGAUAUCACGCAGAACCCCGAUUGCGAAGGCAGCCUGCCAAGUCAAGACUGACGCUGAGGCACGAAAGCGUGGGGAUCAAACAGGAUUAGAUACCCGGGUAGUC